rnacentral:sRNA from 1 species
ACAAAAACCACUUAUCAAAUUCAAAAAAACACGAGAGAGCGCCUGCGAUCUGAGGUGUCCGCAAAAUAGUCAAACCAAAACCAAAAACAAAAAAGAAAGAAAAAGGCCAAACCAAAAGAGCAACCAACCCAACCAAACUAGCCAAUAACUAUACCCAAAAAAAAAAAAAAACGAAAGGAAGAGAAUAAUUGCAUAAUUUGAGUAUGGAGACAUUUCGCCGUGAACUGCUUACAACUGUUCUUACUUUGUGUGUGGUACAGCCAACUACUCCUAUCCAGUAUAGAUACCAAAAAAUUUAACUAAUUUACUUUGAUUUGCUUUCUCUUAUUCAAAAAAAAAAAAAACAAAUACCCCCCAAAAAAAAUAUGAAAAUCA